rnacentral:rRNA from 1 species
UACGGAGGGGGCGAGCGUUAUUCGGAAUUAUUGGGCGUGAAGGGCGCGUAGGCGGCUCUAUAAGUCAAAGGUGAAAUCCCUCGGCUCAACUGAGGAACUGCCUUUGAAACUGUUGGGCUUGAGGCCGGGAGAGGGUAGUGGAAUUCCCAGUGUAGCGGUGAAAUGCGUAGAUACUGGGAGGAACACCAGUGGCGAAGGCGGCUACCUGGACCGGUUCUGACGCUGAGGCGCGAAAGCGUGGGUAGCAAACAGG